ensembl:lncRNA
GUGCACAUAGGAUCCCUUAGACACAAACUCUUGAACGCGUCUGGGACAAGGAGUGGAUCCAGCUGUGCUGAGGAUCCUUACCUCUGUGGUUUGAAGAGUUCAGACAGCAACGGGGUCUGCUCUGAUCCUCAUGACACAGCAGGAGAGCGUCCUGUAGGUGUGUGUUUAAUCCUGCCCUCUAUGUGGAAAAUAACCAAGUGUAUCCAGCCAUCUCCAGUCUUGUUAAGUCACUGUCAUAUCACUACAGCAUAUCUACAUUACAUCAAUAAAUAUACAUUCCUGCUUCCCUCUUAGGAGUGUAUAUCGUAGCUGUAUCCAUCUGUUAUAAAUUGGUGAAGUCUGCACGAUAGCAACUAGGGACAUCAACUAUGAUAAGAGUCACGGAGUGAACUCCAGUCCCAAAUUCCUAUAUGAAUAGGCUCAUGACAACUGUUCUAACUGAGAAAGAAGAGACCAUUAGGGGCCACCAAAGGACGAAAGGGGGAAAAGGUACUAUCUGCAAAAUGCCAAGUUUGGAAGUUACAUAUGAAGCAAGGGAGAACAUAAAUAAAUGGAUCAGGGAGCAGAAACUAAAGCAAGAAAUUUAUUGAUUUAUUUAUUUAUUUAGUAAUAACCUACAGAAAUUGAUUUUGCUUGGGCUGUGUCAGGCACUCAGAACUAUGCCACACACUAUGCACAGGAGUGGAGAUGGAAACGCAUCGUAUUGCGUAGCUACAAGUCUGGGAAUCUAUACUCUUAGUGAGGAAUCAGAAUCACCACACAACUGAAGCCCAGAAUCAUCACAGAGUCAAGGAAUCUAGAAUCAUGAAACGAUCACAGAAUCUGAAAUAACAGAACUUAUAAUCACAGGAGCUGGUAUCCUCAUAGCAUCCUCAUAGAAUCCUCCAAUAAUCAAUUCAUAGAAUCCUCAGACUCUAGAAUCCUAGACUCUAGUAACCCCAUAAUAACCCCACAGUACUGAAUCACCACAUUUUGUUUCCUCACUCCCACAGAGGGAAACUUUCUGUGGAGCAUGCUCACAAUUGACAGUAUCAGCCAGCAUCACCCAGCACUCCUUAUGGAACAGGUUACCUAGAAUAUCAAAGCACUGCCAGUUACAAGUGCUCAGAGGUUCUUCCUCAAAAGAUGAAUUGUUAAUACUAUCUUUCAUUCUAAUUUGGAUACGGGAAGGGAACUGAGGUCUAGAAUCUUUAUGAACAGAAUCCAACACCACUGUGCUCUUCACAAAACCUUUCCCCUUUGCCACAACACAGGGGAAUGGGGAAAGUGAACCUUCAUCCUGGUUUUCCACUACCCCUCAGGUCAGUCCCUGGGGACAGUUGGGACCCUUCUGGAGACGCCAGGAGCCCCCAGGACCCUCAUCAGGCCCCGGGCAUUUUGGUGCCACAAGCCCACUAGCACCCAGGGUGUAUCCCCUGGUGUCCCACAGGACGUGACAGCCCAGGCAGGAUGCAGCGUGACAGACCCAUGUGGCUCCGUGGUGAGCCCCCAGGACCCUCAUCAGGCCCCGGGCAUUUUGGUGCCACAAGCCCACUAGCACCCAGGGUGUAUCCCCUGGUGUCCCACAGGACGUGACAGCCCAGGCAGGAUGCAGCGUGACAGACCCAUGUGGCUCCGUGGUGUGAGAUUCGUAUGUACUUCUCCCUGUCCCUGGCUGAAGUUCUCAGAGGGGUACACAGAGGUAGGAGAGAGCUAAGGACAAGGCCAAGGGGCACUUAGGGUGACAGGACAUAGCCACAGCUUGGGGACAGUGGCCAGAUGCUGGAGACAUUCAUAUGGCAGGAAGGGACGCACAGGACACAACCACAGCCCAAGGACAUGGGGGGCAACAAAAGGGACCUUGCUCAGACCACUGGGACCACAGUGCCGUGGGUGAACACACUGCCACCCACCUAGUGAAAGCUGUGUCCUUGCUGCAGCUAUGUCUCCAAAGGGCUUUAGUCAGUGCCAGAACCCACAGAUCCCCUAUACAGGGCAAAACUACAGAAUUCUGCAUCAAUCAAUCGUCAGGAGCUUCCAUUCACUGACAACGUCACUGUGAGGCCAAGGUCCCCACAGGCCAGGUGACACAGGGACAUCGCUGGGACACUGAGCGAUCAGCGGCAGUGCUGUUGAUGGCAGCAUCAGCUCAAGGGGACACAGCACUGGCAAUGCAGUGACAAUGAGAAUGUCAUCAGUGACAACCACAACCCUCGAGUCCAUUGGACACAGUGCUGAAGGUCAGUGUCAGUGACACUGCAACAACAACGCCAGGAGCUCCCCACAGCUGCCAGCACUGCCCCCCCCCCCCCCUCCCACAGACAUUCCCACUCUCACAGCUCCCCACGGAUGUCAGGCAGCAGGUGACAGGCGGUGAUGGUGGCUACGGUGGCAGCCACAGCGCGCAGGUCACGGCGCACCAGGCACAGGCAGUGCGCGGUCGCAGCUGCCCCAGCUUGGGCGUGGCCCAGGGGCCCCCCCAGACCUUCCAGCAGCCGCGCAGCCCCACUGAAACUGCGUCCCAGUGCCUCAGCCAUUGCGCCCCGCAGUCGCCCCUCGCCCGCCCCCAGCCGCUGCUGCAGCAGUGAGGGGCCCCCCCUGGACACCCCUGGCAGCGGCAUCCGGGCCGCACUGUCCUCUUCCUCCUCCUCCUCGGUCUCCGACGCCUCCCCCGGAACCUUCAGCCCCACUGCGGGAGUCCCGGCUGUGUUCCCCCCCGGCUCCGGCUCUGAGUCGCUCUCCGAGGCCUCGCCCAGCACCAGCGUGGGGGAAAGAGGGACGGCCAUGGUCUGCGAGAGGGGAAUAAAAGGGAGGAGGGGGAGUCGGGGGGAAAACGGCCCCACCAGGCACGGAGACCCCCGGCUCUUUCUCCCGAGUCUCAGAGGAAUACUGCGCACAACAGGCCCGUGCCCCCUCAGCCUCGUGAGACCCCCAC